UACGUAGGGCGCAAGCGUUGUCCGGAAUUAUUGGGCGUAAAGAGCUCGUAGGCGGCUUGUCACGUCGGGUGUGAAAGCCCGGGGCUUAACCCCGGGUCUGCAUUCGAUACGGGCUAGCUAGAGUGUGGUAGGGGAGACUGGAAUUCCUGGUGUAGCGGUGAAAUGCGCAGAUAUCAGGAGGAACACCGGUGGCGAAGGCGGGUCUCUGGGCCGUAACUGACGCUGAGGAGCGAAAGCGUGGGGAGCGAACAGG
rnacentral:rRNA from 1 species